AUGAACGCUAGCGGCAGGCUUAACACAUGCAAGUCGAGGGGUAGUAGUAGCAAUACUAUGAGACCGGCAAACGGGUGCGGAACACGUACGCAAUCUACCUUUAUCUGGGGCAUAGCUCGGAGAAAUCCGGAUUAAUUCCCCAUAAUAUAUCAUUUAGGCAUCUAGGAGAUAUUAAAGCUCAGGCGGAUAGAGAUGAGCGUGCGUCCCAUUAGCUAGUUGGCAGGGGUAACGGCCUACCAAGGCGACGAUGGGUAGCUGGUGUGAGAGCACGACCAGCCACACGGGCACUGAGACACGGGCCCGACUCCUACGGGAGGCAGCAGUGAGGAAUAUUGGUCAAUGGGCGCAAGCCUGAACCAGCCAUGCCGCGUGAAGGAUGAAGGCCUUCUGGGUUGUAAACUUCUUUUAUGUGGGAAGAAAACUACGGUUUCUACUGUAGCCGACGGUACCAUAGGAAUAAGCACCGGCUAACUCCGUGCCAGCAGCCGCGGUAAUACGGAGGGUGCAAGCGUUAUCCGGAUUCACUGGGUUUAAAGGGUGUGUAGGCGGGCUAUUAAGUCAGUGGUGAAAUCCCGAGGCUCAACCUCGGAACUGCCAUUGAUACUAUUAGUCUUGAAUUCUGUUGAGGUGGGCGGAGUAUGUCAUGUAGCGGUGAAAUGCUUAGAUAUGACAUAGAACACCGAUUGCGAAGGCAGCUCACUAAGCAGCGAUUGACGCUGAGGCACGAAAGCGUGGGGAUCAAACAGGAUUAGAUACCCCUGUAGUCCACGCCCUAAACGGUGCACACUAGGUCUUGGCGGAUUCGACCCCCCCAGGGCCCAAGCUAACGCGUUAAGUGUGCCGCCUGAGGACUACGGCCGCAAGGCUAAAACUCAAAGGAAUUGGCGGGGGCUCACACAAGCGGUGGAGCAUGUGGCUUAAUUCGAGGCUACGCGCAGAACCUUAUCCCGGGCUUGACAUGCACGGAUUACGUGGCGGAAACGUCACGGAGGCCGCAAGGUACAACGUGCACAGGUGCUGCAUGGCUGUCGUCAGCUCGUGUCGUGAGAUGUUGGGUUAAGUCCCGUAACGAGCGAAACCCCUGCCCCUUGUUGCCAGCACAUCAUGGUGGGCACUCUAGGGGGACCGCCGGUGUUAAACCGGAGGAAGGCGGGGACGACGUCAAGUCCUCAUGGCCCUUAUGCCCGGGGCUGCACACGUGCUACAAUGGGCCGGACAAAGCGCCGCCAACGCGCAAGCGGGAGCUAAUCGCAAAAACCGGUCCCCAGUUCGGAUUGCGGGCUGCAACCCGCCCGCAUGAAGCCGGAAUCGCUAGUAAUCGCCGAUCAGCACUGCGGCGGUGAAUGGGUUCCUGAGCCUUGUACACACCGCCCGUCAAGCCACCAAAGCGGGGGGCACCCGAAGUCGCCUGUGCCGUAAGGCAAGCGCCGAAGGUGAAACCCGUGAUGGGGACU
rnacentral:rRNA from 1 species